GACGAACGCUGGCGGCGUGCCUAAUACAUGCAAGUCGAGCGCAGGAAAUCGACGGAACCCUUCGGGGGGAAGUCGACGGAAUGAGCGGCGGACGGGGGAGUAACACGUAAAGAACCUGCCCUCAGGUCUGGGAUAACCACGAGAAAUCGGGGCUAAUACCGGAUGGGUCAUCGGACCGCAUGGUCCGAGGGUGAUAGGCGCUCCGGCGUCGCCUGGGGAUGGCUUUGCGGUGCAUUAGCUAGUUGGUGGGGUAAUGGCCCACCAAGGCGACGAUGCAUAGCCGACCUGAGAGGGUGAUCGGCCACACUGGGACUGAGACACGGCCCAGACUCCUACGGGAGGCAGCAGUAGGGAAUCUUCCACAAUGGACGAAAGUCUGAUGGAGCAACGCCGCGUGAACGAUGAAGGCCUUCGGGUCGUAAAGUUCUGUUGUAAGGGAAGAACAAGUGCCGCAGGCAAUGGCGGCACCUUGACGGUACCUUGCGAGAAAGCCACGGCUAACUACGUGCCAGCAGCCGCCGUAACAC
rnacentral:rRNA from 1 species